AGUCAUCACCCGCCCUACUCUCCCUCUGAUUGGCUAGUAAUCCUGAUUGGCGCCAGAGCUAUGUAUUGGUGUUUAGGAAUGAGGACCGUCAGAGUUAGGGUCAGGGGUUAGCCAAUCAGAACCAGAGUAGGGGGCGGGCAUUGUCAUCAUCGCGGGAAUCCUGACACGCUCCACAACAGCUGAUGCUCCUGGACAGGUUGGAGUAACCAGCAUCCCUCCACUCACCAACCCUCCAUCAUCCCUGCCAACCAGCCACCCAUCAGCCAACUGGCCGCUUGUCCUCUCAAACAACCCUCCACCAGUCCUGCCAUGCAGCCUCCCAGUGCCAUGUUGAAUCAGGAAGCAACCAUUCAAUCACUGGAGGAGAGAAGUAGAUGAAAAGUAGAUGAAGUAGUGAAGAAGG